GACGAACGCUGGCGGCGUGCUUAACACAUGCAAGUCGAACGAAGUGGCGAACGGGUGAGUAACGCGUAAUUAACCUGCCCUUCAGAAGGGGACAACAGUUGGAAACGAAUGCUAAUACCGCAUACUGAAGGGGGGGAUUGCGUCUGAGUAGCUAGUUGGAGGGGUAACGGCCCACCAAGGCGAUGAUCAGUAGCCGGGCUGAGGAGAUGAACGGCCACAUUGGGACUGAGGCACGGCCCAGACUCCUAAGGGAGGAAGCAGUGGGGAAUCUUCCGAAAUGGACGAAAGUCUGACGGAGCAACGCCGGGUGAGGGAUGACGGCCUGCGGGUUUGUAAGCUAGGUUAAUCGGGACGCGGUACCGGAAGAGAAAGCCACGGCUAACUACGUGCCAGCAGCCGCGGUAAUUC
rnacentral:rRNA from 1 species